rnacentral:rRNA from 1 species
GCGUUUACCCGGGUCAUUGCCGGGAUGGGAUAUGUAGUACUCGAGCCCGAAUACCGCGGAUCGACCGGCUACGGCACUGAUUUCCUGACCGCGAUUUAUCGGCACUUCGGCGACCGCGCCUACCGCGACGUGGACAGCGCAACCGAUUACGCCGUCGCCCAGGGCUGGGCUGAUCCCAACCGGCUGGCCAUCUUCGGCUGGAGCGCCGGCGGCUUCAUGACAUCCUGGACCGUCACUCAAACCAAUCGUUAUAAAGCCGAGACCGAUAGCGCACAAGUA